CGGACACUAUGUGAGGUUUCUAACCCACUGAGCCACAAGGGGAACUCCUGUUUCAGAACUUAGAAUCGUGUUUCUUGGCUGCUCUCUCUCCUCUUGCUUUGUCUGUUUUGCAGUCGCAACUCGCUUAGCACUUAUGCCCCGACAUGCAUUUUUCAGAACAGUGUUUUCUUCCCGCUGCGAACCUUCUGUAAAAGGCUUGGGGUUUGUGGGUUUCAGUUCCAAGUCUUAGAACUUGUUUUCUGCUGGGCUCUGAUGAGAGGUCAUCGAGUGCAAGGUGGAGUCAGGGUUGAGUUAAUUAUUUCAUAGGGCUUCCUCUUGGUCUGUGUCAACUCUUUGAGCUGUCCUGGCAGCCGAUGCCUUCACACGCAGGGGAUGGGAGGUGCGGGGGGGAAGGGGGCAGGGAGGUAACGCGGUUGGCAAGCGCUAAAGAUCAGGGCCACAGCAUCCCUGCCUCCCUGACCCCUCCAUCUUUCUGCUGCAACCAAUCAACACACUGCCUCACUUAGUCACACACAAGCCUGGAUGAGGCUUGCGGAGGGAAGCAGGUGCUUGGGGUUAUUACUGACCUACCAAAGGAAGGUUCAGAGAGGCCAAGGAGCUGUGUGACCUUCCGGUUAAACUGUGACUUCACCAAGGAGAGGAGUAUUGGAGUUGGCCCAGGCGUGCAGAAGGAGGCAGAGAAGGAAAGAGCAAAGGAAUCUCCGUGUUCCGGAUGUACUUACAUGGAUAUCCUUGGGGGAGCUGGUUUAUAUGCGGCACGUUCCCUACACGAGGAGUUCCAGGAUAUUCACGUCACUUGCUAGGGAAACUUGGAAAGCUUUGGCAAACUGACUUAAUGCUCAUCCAAAGUCAGACUCAGCACCUUUCUCCGGAAACUCAAAGAAGAAGAAGAAGAAAAAAAAAAGGGGAUGGAAUUCGUCUUGGGAAUUUCAUUAAGAACACAACAGCAACACCUUCUGCUGUGUCUAUGGCGCUGAUCUAGCCAAGAGUGUAUCUCUGGAAGGCAAUUCUGAGCUCAUUUUUGUGGCCGUGUGAAUUUAGUUGCUUGUUUUUAUUAAUAACCUGCUUCUGUUGUUUAAUGAAAACCAGAAUCUACUUCACUGUCUCAAAAACAUCAGUGCCUCCCUUCUUACUUUCAUGGUUUUCCCCUGACUUUCAUUUUAUUCAUUUUCAAGUGGAAGUAAGAUAAUGCACACAUGGGAUUUCCCCACAGUCAAAAUGCACCUAAAUUAAAAAUCUUAAACAUGUCUGAUUUGAGGACAAUACUGUUUAAUCAUUGUCUACAAUUUAAGUGUUAAAGGACAGGAAUCAACCCGAGCUUGAAAAGGUGGGAUGAGCCUGUCUCCCUAGUGACUUACACCGUGGAGAACAGAGAAUUUCCAGAAGGGAAUGAGGAACAACUCUUGCAAUGUGAGAAUGGAAUUGCUUUAUCUUUAACCAGCGUGUGAUGGAACAGAUAUUUGUUGGACAAAUUAGUGCAAGAUACUGUUCUUUUUUUUUAAAGUUUUGUUGAAGUAUAGUUGAUUUACAAGAUUGUAAUAAUUCGUGA